AGAGUUUGAUCCUGGCUCAGAUUGAACGCUGGCGGCAGGCCUAACACAUGCAAGUCGAGCGGUAACAGGAAGUAACUUGCUACUUCGCUGACGAGCGGCGGACGGGUGAGUAAUGCCUGGGAAUAUGCCUUGAUGUGGGGGAUAACUAUUGGAAACGAUAGCUAAUACCGCAUAAUGCCUACGGGCCAAAGAGGGGGAUCUUCGGACCUCUCGCGUCAAGAUUAGCCCAGGUGGGAUUAGCUAGUUGGUGGGGUAAAGGCUCACCAAGGCGACGAUCCCUAGCUGGUCUGAGAGGAUGAUCAGCCACACUGGAACUGAGACACGGUCCAGACUCCUACGGGAGGCAGCAGUGGGGAAUAUUGCACAAUGGGGGAAACCCUGAUGCAGCCAUGCCGCGUGUAUGAAGAAGGCCUUCGGGUUGUAAAGUACUUUCAGCAGUGAGGAAGGUGGUGAUGUUAAUAGCAUUAUCAUUUGACGUUAGCUGCAGAAGAAGCACCGGCUAACUCCGUGCCAGCAGCCGCGGUAAU
rnacentral:rRNA from 1 species